UACAUGGGGUGCAAACGUUGCUCGGAAUUAUUGGGCGUAAAGCGCACGUAGGCGGUUUGUUAAGUCGGAUGUGAAAUCCCUCGGCUCAACUGAGGAAGUGCACCCGAAACUGGCAGGCUUGAGUACUAAAGAGGGUCGCGGAAUUCCCGGUGUAGAGGUGAAAUUCGUAGAUAUCGGGAGGAACACCGGUGGCGAAGGCGGCGACCUGGGUCGAUACUGACGCUGAGGUGCGAAAGCGUGGGGAGCAAACAGG
rnacentral:rRNA from 1 species